CAUAAAGAAAACAGAAAGAGUGGCGACAUAUUGACGCACGUUACUAUUAUGGAUUUUAAGAAAUAAUUAUAUCUGCGUUUUGCCAAAGAAGAUCAUAAAGAAAACAGAAAGAGUGGCGACAUAUUGACGCACGUUACUAUUAUGGAUUUUAAGAAAUAAUUAUAUCUGCGUUUUGCCAAAGAAGAUCAUAAAGAAAACAGAAAGAGUGGCGACAUAUUGACGCACGUUACUAUUAU